GUGACAUUUUGGAAGCCAGGCAUUAUCUGCAGAUAUGCUUUCCCGGGGUGUCCCAGCGUAUUGAUAAUAAUCCAGCUAGGGCCUUUGAAGCUUAUCAACUUCUUCUCACAACUCUCCAGGAUGAAUUUGUUGGUGAAGAACUAGAGCUGGCAUCCCAGAUGGAAAAUUUUGUGGCUUCGUUGGCAUGUUAUAGGCUGUUAUACUUGAAGGCUACAAACCUUGCGUUUAUCAUUUCUUUGGUUCAGUGUUUCGCAGCAGAUACCGUAAAGAAGAGGGAUUACCUCCUGGGCUGACUCAGAGUGCGAACACUGAUAGGCGCCGCACCUCUAAACUAAGACUCACGUCGCGCAGGCACUUUCUAUCAGAAGGAUACUAGGAGAGCGAAGAAGUAAACCUCUGCAAAUUACUGUUUACUGGAAAAGUCAGGAAGAAAUGAUUGGUCAACAAACUUGUAUAUAAGCUCUGAGGUUGCUGCAUGUGCAGCCGGAGUCUCUUUUUUACUUGUUAUCAUUGCUUCAUUUCGUUCAUAGGGAUCACAACUGAGAAGUUUGCACGAUCUGCCCUUGUUCCUUCGGGGUGAGGGGUGAGGGGUGGCCAUACACGGUCAAACUGCGGUGCGGCAUGUUAAAACACGUGUGCCAUGCUUGGAGUAGUCGCGGUUGCGCUUAGACUUGUUGAAACGAAGGGGUAUUACUUGAACGGCCUGCA